rnacentral:rRNA from 1 species
UACGUAGGGGGCUAGCGUUGUCCGGAAUCAUUGGGCGUAAAGAGCGUGUAGGCGGCCCGGUAAGUCCGCUGUGAAAGUCGGGGGCUCAACCCUCGAAUGCCGGUGGAUACUGUCGGGCUAGAGUGCGGAAGAGGCGAGUGGAAUUCCUGGUGUAGCGGUGAAAUGCGCAGAUAUCAGGAGGAACACCGGUGGCGAAGGCGGGUCUCUGGGCCGAUAUUGACGCUGAGGAGCGAAAGCGUGGGGAGCGAACAGG